GACGAACGCUGGCGGCGCGCUUAACACAUGCAAGUCGAGCGAUGAAACUUUAACAGAACCCUUCGGGGCGAAGAUAAAGUGGAUUAGCGGCGGACGGGUGAGUAACACGUGAGUAACCUGCCUUAGACAUUGGGAUAGUCUCGGGAAACCGGGAUUAAUACCAAAUAAAAUCAUAAUGACACAUGUCAUAACGAUCAAAACUCCGGUGGUCUAAGAUGGACUCGCGUCCCAUUAGCUAGUUGGUAGAGUAAAAGCCUACCAAGGCGACGAUGGGUAGCCGGCCUGAGAGGGGGAACGGCCACAUUGGAACUGAGAAACGGUCCAAACUCCUACGGGAGGCAGCAGUGGGGAAUAUUACACAAGGGAGGGAACUCUGAUGCAGCGACGCCGCGGGAACGAGGAAGGCGUUCGAGUCGUAAAGUUCUUUUAUAUGGGAAGAGAAUGACGGUACCAGAAGAAAAAGCCCCGGCUAACUACGUG
rnacentral:rRNA from 1 species